rnacentral:pre_miRNA from 1 species
AGUGGGAUAGCUGGGUCAAAUGGUGGUUUUAUUCCAAGUUUUCCAAGGAAUCUCUGUACUACUUUCCAGAUUGGUUGCACCAAUUUUCAGCCCCACCAGCAAU